rnacentral:rRNA from 1 species
GAUGAACGCUGGCGGCGUGCCUAAUACAUGCAAGUCGAGCGGACGGGCCCUGCUUUUGCUGUUCUGAUGUUAGCGACGGACGGGUGAGUCACACGUGGAUAGCCCUCCUCUACGACUUGAACCACUUCGGGUAACCGUAACUACUGCCGGAUACUAUUUUGAGCCGCAUGGUUCAAAAGUGUAUGACGGUCUUGCUGAGACCUAUAGCUAGAUGCGCGGUGGAUUAGCUAGUUGGUAAGGAAACGGCUUACGAUGGCGACGAUGCAUGGCCGACCGGAGAGGGGGAUGGCGCACUGUGGAACUGAGACGCGGUCCAGACUCCUACGGGAGGCACCAGUAGGGAAGCUUCGGCGAUGGGGGAAAGACUGACGAAGCAGCGCCGCGUGGAUGAUGAAGGUCCGCGGAGCGUAAAACGCUGUUAGGAGGGAAGAACAUAUGUGUAAGGAACGGUGCAUUUUGUGACGGUACCUAGUCAGAAAGCCACGGCUAACUACGUG